UCCAGACUCCUACGGGAGGCAGCAGUGGGGGAUAUUGCACAAUGGGGGAAACCCUGAUGCAGCGACGCCGCGUGGGUGAAGAAGCGCCUCGGCGCGUAAAGCCCUGUCAGCAGGGAAGAAAAUGACGGUACCUGAAGAAGAAGCCCCGGCUAACUACGUGCCGGCAGCCGCGGUAAUACGUAGGGGGCAAGCGUUAUCCGGAUUUACUGGGUGUAAAGGGGGCGCAGACGGCGAUGCAAGCCAGGAGUGAAAGCCCGGGGCCCAACCCCGGGACUGCUCUGGAAACUGUAUGACUUGAGUGCAGGAGAGGUAAGCGGAAUUCCUAGUGUAGCGGUGAAAUGCGUAGAUAUUAGGAGGAACACCAGUGGCGAAGGCGGUCUGCUGGACAGCAACUGACGCUGAGGCACGAAAGCGUGGGGAGCAAACAGGGUUAGAUACCCCCGUAAA
rnacentral:rRNA from 1 species